CGGUGUCGUGCGGCAGUCGUGGCACAAAUUUGUUCGCGCGAGUGUACGGGAGCGUGUGCGAGGACUCCAGAAUAAAAGCAACACCGUGGCUGUGUCGUCGAGCGGUGAUCAAGUGCCACUCGAGCGCAGUGGAAAAUGGGACAGGGGAAAUUUCUACGUGUGCACCACCGCCAUUUUAGAAAUGCGAGAACACCCACACAGGAACCAACACACCCACAGCGAUCAGAUUAUUAGAACCGCGUGCACGAAUCGAUGAUUUUACAUUAAACAUUUUUAAACUAUCAAACAUAUUUCUCGCGAAGCACUGCGGCUCGAUCGCCGUGUACUUAGGAUUGUACACGAUGACUUAUUAUUUCAAAUAAUAAAUUACUUUAUUUCAUAAUAA